GACGAAGGAUGCAAGCGUUAUCCGGAUUCAUUGGGUUUAAAGGGUGCGUAGGCGGACUGAUAAGUCAGUGGUGAAAUCUCUCAGCUUAACUGAGAAACUGCCAUUGAUACUGUCGGUCUAGAGUAUAGAUGACGUUGGCGGAAUAUGACAUGUAGUGGUGAAAUACUUAGAUAUGUCAUAGAACACCGAUUGCGAAGGCAGCUAACGAAACUAUAACUGACGCUGAGGCACGAAAGUGCGGGGAUCAAACAGG
rnacentral:rRNA from 2 species